AACGAACGCUGGCGGCAUGCCUAACACAUGCAAGUCGAACGAGACCUUCGGGUCUAGCGGCGCACGGGUGCGUAACGCGUGGGAACCUGCCCUUAGGUUCGGAAUAACUCCCCGAAAGGGGUCCUAAUACCGGAUAAUGUCUUCGGACCAAAGAUUUAUCGCCUUUGGAUGGGCCCGCGUUGGAUUAGCUGGUUGGUAGGGUAAAAGCCUACCAAGGCGGCGAUCCAUAGCUGGUCUGAGAGGAUGAUCAGCCGCACUGGGACUGGGACACGGCCCAGACUCCUACGGGAGGCAGCAGUGGUGAAUAUUGGACAAGGGGCGAGAGCCGGAUCCAGCAAUGCCGCGUGAGUGAUGAAGGCCUUAGGGUUGUAAAGCUCUUUUACCCGGGAUGAUAAUGACAGUACCGGGAGAAUAAGCUCCGGCUAACUCCAU
rnacentral:rRNA from 1 species